rnacentral:tRNA from 1 species
CGGGAUGUAGCGCAGCCCGGUAGCGCGCUUCGUUCGGGACGAAGAGGUCGCUGGUUCGAGUCCAGUCAUCCCGA